ensembl:snoRNA small nucleolar RNA SNORD59
UCUUCUGUGAUGAAUUAACAUUUGACUUUCGUUCUUCUGAAUUUGCCCUGAAGCCAUUUCAUUUGUUCUGAGAAGA